rnacentral:tRNA from 1 species
GGGGCUAUAGCUCAGUUGGUAGAGCGUCUGCAUGGCAUGCAGAAGGUCAGGAGUUCAAUUCUCCUUAGCUCCA